rnacentral:rRNA from 1 species
GAGUUUGAUUAUGGCUCAGAUUGAACGCUGGCGGCAGGCUUAACACAUGCAAGUCGAACGAUGAUUACUAGCUUGCUAGUAUGAUUAGUGGCGAACGGGUGAGUAAUGCUUAGGAAUCUGCCUAUUAGUGGGGGACAACAUUCCGAAAGGAAUGCUAAUACCGCAUACGUCCUACGGGAGAAAGCAGGGGAUCUUUUGACCUUGCGCUAAUAGAUGAGCCUAAGUCGGAUUAGCUAGUUGGUGGGGUAAAGGCCUACCAAGGCGACGACCUGUAGCUGGUCUGAGAGGAUGAUCAGCCACACUGGGACUGAGACACGGCCCAGACUCCUACGGGAGGCAGCAGUGGGGAAUAUUGGACAAUGGGCGAAAGCCUGAUCCAGCCAUGCCGCGUGUGUGAAGAAGGCCUUUUGGUUGUAAAGCACUUUAAGUGGGGAGGAAAAGCUAAUAAUUAAUACCUAUUAGCCCUGACGU